UGCAGAGCUGAGUUUGCCAGCCGUACAACAUGGCGUAUGAAUGCUUUGCGAGUUUGUUUGACAAGCAAAAGGAAAACAGGAGCUUUGAUUCAAUGAGCAGCUUAAUAAGCAAUCUUCAAGCAGAUCCUCUUUGAACCAGUGUCAUUCUGUUGAAGGUAAACAUUAUGAUAUACACUUGCAUUUGAUUUGAAAACAACCCCGAAAAACUCGAAAACAAACUGGCAAAAAGUGUAGCAUACUUUUUGGCGCAGCAUAUAUUCACUUGCAUUUGAUUUGAAAACAACACCGAAAAACUCGAAAACAAACUGGCAACAAAAAAUGUUGCAUACUUUUUUGGGCAGCAUAUAUACACUUGCAUUUGAUUUGAAAACAACCCCGAAAAACUGGAACAAAAAGUGCAGCAUACUUUUUUGGGCAGCAUACCGGCAUCUGGCACUUGGCACUGACUUCUGCCCGAAGGAGACAAGGAGUCACAGGAGUCAGAGGAGUCGCUGGAGACGUGCAGCUGCCAGAGGCGACUCUCAGUCGCACUGACUUUGCACAAUUAAUGGCGGCCAAGCAACCGGUCGAAAUAACCAGGAGCAGGGGAAGGAGCGAAGAGGAGGGAGGAUGCCUAUUACCCAGCCACGCCCCCUGCCAAUGUCGGAAGGAGCCGCGCGCAAUUAUUGCGCCAUUGUGUGAGAACCUUUGCCAAGUGUCUGUGUCACCGCUAAAUUUAACAUAAUCCUGGAACGUCGCCGACGACCCGUCGCGGUACUCGUUUAAUGCUCUCAUUUCGCCAGCUGACGCGGCAUCGCUGCUGCUGCUUCUGCUGCUGCUCUGCCUGCUGUCCCAUAGGUCCUUGAAUGUCUUUGUCCUGCGAUAAAUCGCCAGCCUGAAAGUAUGCAAAGGAAAUUAUUACUUGCACUCAACUCAUUGUCAUGAAAGUAUGCAAUUCAAUUGGUAUUUCGAUUUUAAAUGGACACCCUAAAAGUAUGCAAUACAAUUCAAAUUAUGUGCUUAAAUCAACAUACUAAAAGUAUGCACUCUUAUCUCAAUUAUGUAUUAAAAUCCCCAUCCUAAAAGUAUGCCAUAGAGAAGUUCAUGCUGCCAACUUCGCAUUACCACUA